UCAUUCCUCACUUUCAAUAAUAGUGCAUAUCAACGUGACUUCCCUGAACGUAAUACGUAAGUACCUGGUCCACAUUUAACGGACGGACAUUCUUUUCUGAAGCUCUAGACAUUAUCGGACCCAUCAACCGUCGCAAAAUUGCAGAACCGCGAGCUUCACUUUUCUUAUGCUUAUGCUUGCGUCUUAUUCACCUUGGUGUUCGUCUUGCACCGCACCCCUUAUAUGCGCUUGUCUAAGCAUCUGAUCCAGAUGAAGCUUCGAUCUUUUAUUAUUUUCUUCCACAUCGAGGGCUUCACGAAAACCAUCUUCAAACUCUCUCUCUCCAGGAGCAAA
rnacentral:lncRNA from 1 species